rnacentral:rRNA from 1 species
GCUCGCGGCGUGGCUGGUUCCGCGUUGACACGUAGUGGGUAAGUGUUGUUCGGAAGUAUGUGGCGUGAAGUGCGCUUUGGUGGUUUGUUAAUGGUGCUGUGAAAACCGAGGGCGUAACCGGGUGCUUGCAGUGGAAACGGGCGGACUAGAGGAAUGUAGGGGGGAAGGUAAUUCCUGGUGUAGCGGUGAAAUGCGCAGAUAUCAGUAGGAACACCGGUGGCGAAGGCGAUUCUCUGGGCCUUACCUGACACUGAGGAGCGAAAGCGUGGGGAGCAAACAGGAUUAGAUACCCUGGUAGUC